CAUACUGUCGUCGCUUGGGCAAUGUGUCACCAUCGUUUGGGUGGCGUGCCUUCGAUUUUUGUGCUGCCAUCACGUUGCAUUGUCCAUCCAUUAGUCACAUCUGUCAAUUGUCACAUCUCAUCAUUUCACCUUAACUUUCUAUCUCUUCAUCAGAUUUUGCUACUUAGUGCAAAUCUAAUAGUCUCCAUUUUCUACAAAAAGGGACACCUAUUUCACCAUUUCUUUAUCAAUUCCACUUCAUUCUUCCAUCCACCAAAGAGUUUGUAAAGAA
rnacentral:lncRNA from 1 species